rnacentral:rRNA from 1 species
AUUGAACGCUGGCGGCGUGCCUAAUACAUGCAAGUAGGACGCAGUUGCGAACGGGUGAGUAACACGUAGGUAACUACCUAUUUGACGGGGAUAACUAUUGGAAACGAUCGCUAAUACAGCAUACUAGUAAAUGGACCUGCGUUGUAUUAGCUAGUAGGUGGGGGCAAGGACUACCUAAGCAAUGAUACAUAGCCGAGCUGGAGUGGUGAUCGGCCACACUGGGACUGAGGACCCGCCCAGAAUCCUACGGGGAGCAGCAGUAGGGAAACAUCGGCCAUGGGGGGAACCCUGACCGAAGAACGCCGGGUGAGGGGAGAAGGUGUUCAGAUCGGAAAGCUCUGUUGUUAAGGAAGCGGUACUUAACCAGAAAGGGACGGCUAACUACGUGCCAGCAGCCGCGGUAAUUC